GGUGCGACACCAGGAUUGGCGCACCGCGCCGGCGGCCGAUUUGAAUCGAAGCGCCUCCUCGCGCCGUCCACCAGACGUACCAUGAUUGGACGAAGUGAUAGGUAACCGUGAACGUGUGAAACGCGAAUUGCAGUGUGCGUCACUCUCAAAGAUGCUGACGAACGUACGUGUACGUACGAGCGCGCGCAAACGGCAAAGGUGGCGAAGAACGCAAAUUGCUAAAGGCACUGUUCCGGUGACCUACUCCGCGAUUAUCACUCACUGCGGCCGAUCGUCGAUGCAAGUGCGUGAGCGUUAACUAGUGUUGGCAACUAUACCACGCCACGAGAAAAGGAGGACACCACGCGGGGACGUAAUCACAUAAAUGUUGCGCGAGCCGUCUUAUUUCGAGCCCUUUCCCGGCGCAAUUUUAGCAGGUGCAUUGAAUUGACAGUUGCAUGAAAUAAUGAUCUGCUUUUGUGACCAUUUUUCUCCCUCCAACAUUUUUUGCAUAUUGAUUUAGUUUCGGUGCAGUAAAAAGCAAUAAAUUUUAUGAUUCUGCAAC